UGAUGCAGCAACGCCGCGUGAGCGAUGAAGCCCUUCGGGGUGUAAAGUUCUUUCGGCAGGGAAGAUUAUGACGGUACCUGCAGAAGCAGCUGCGGCUAACUUCGUGCCAGCAGCCGCGGUAAUACGUAGGCAGCAAGCGUUGUUCGGAGUUACUGGGCGUAAAGGGUGCGUAGGCGGUCCUGUAAGUCUGGUGUGAAAUCUCCCGGCUCAACUGGGAGGGUGCGCUAUAAACUGCGGGACUAGAGGGUGGGAGAGGAAAGUGGAAUUCCCGGUGUAGCGGUGAAAUUCGUAGAUAUCAGGAGGAACACCGGUGGUGUAAACGGCCUUCUGGACCACAACUGACGCUGAGGCACGAAAGCGUGGGUAGCAAACAGGAUUAGAUACCCUGGUAGUCCACGCCGUAAACGAUGCAUAUUUGGUGUGGGUCAGUCAGUUGAUCCGUGCCGGAGCUAACGCAUUAAACAUUCCGCCUGGGGAGUACUGUCGCAAGGUUGAAACUCAAAGGAAUUGACGG
rnacentral:rRNA from 1 species